rnacentral:rRNA from 1 species
UGCAAGUCGAACGAACCUUCGGGUUAGUGGCGGACGGGUGAGUAACGUGUGAGAAUCUGCCCUCAGGAGGGGGAUAACGGUUGGAAACGACCGCUAAUACCCCAUAUGCCUAUUGGUGAAAUGAAUUUCGCCUGAGGAUGAGCUCGCGUCUGAUUAGCUAGUUGGUGGGGUAAUGGCUCACCAAGGCUUCGAUCAGUAGCUGGUCUGAGAGGAUGAUCAGCCACACUGGGACUGAGACACGGCCCAGACUCCUACGGGAGGCAGCAGUGGGGAAUUUUCCGCAAUGGGCGAAAGCCUGACGGAGCAACGCCGCGUGAGGGACGAAGGCCUCUGGGCUGUAAACCUCUUUUCUCAAGGAAGAAGAUAUGACGGUACUUGAGGAAUAAGCCACGGCUAAUUCCGUGCCAGCAGCCGCGGUAAUACGGGAGUGGCAAGCGUUAUCCGGAAUUAUUGGGCGUAAAGCGUCCGCAGGCGGCUUUUCAAGUCUGCUGUUAAAACGUGGAGCUUAACUCCAUCAUGGCAGUGGAAACUGAAAGGCUUGAGUAUGGUAGGGGCAGAGGGAAUUCCCGGUGUAGCGGUGAAAUGCGUAGAUAUCGGGAAGAACACCAGUGGCGAAGGCGCUCUGCUGGGCCAUUACUGACGCUCAUGGACGAAAGCCAGGGGAGCGAAAGGGAUUAGAUACCCCUGUAGUCCUGGCCGUAAACGAUGAACACUAGGUGUCGGGGGAAUCGACCCCUUCGGUGUCGUAGCUAACGCGUUAAGUGUUCCGCCUGGGGAGUACGCACGCAAGUGUGAAACUCAAAGGAAUUGACGGGGGCCCGCACAAGCGGUGGAGUAUGUGGUUUAAUUCGAUGCAACGCGAAGAACCUUACCAGGGUUUGACAUCCUGCGAACCUCUUAGAAAUUUGAGGGGUGCCUUCGGGAUGCAGUGACAGGUGUGCAUGACUGUCGUCAGCUCGUGUCGUGAGAUGUGGGUAGUCCCGCACGAGCGCAUCACGUUUUAGUGCAGCAUUAGUGGCACUCUAGACGACGCGGUGAUAACGAGAGUGUGAUGACGUCAGUCAUCAUGCCCUACACCCUGGCUAACACGUACUACAAUGCUACGGACAAGGGCAGCAAUUCGCGGGAAGGCUAGCAAAUUCCAUAAAACCGGUGCUCAUUUUCGAUG